rnacentral:rRNA from 1 species
CAGUCGCCGCGGGAAUACGUAGGUGGCAAGCGUUGUCCGGAAUUAUUGGGCGUAAAGGGCUCGCAGGCGGUUUCUUAAGUCUGAUGUGAAAGCCCCCGGCUCAACCGGGGAGGGUCAUUGGAAACUGGGAAACUUGAGUGCAGAAGAGGAGAGUGGAAUUCCACGUGUAGCGGUGAAAUGCGUAGAGAUGUGGAGGAACACCAGUGGCGAAGGCGACUCUCUGGUCUGUAACUGACGCUGAGGAGCGAAAGCGUGGGGAGCGAACAGGAUUAGAUACCCCUGAAGUCCCUGUCUCUUAUAC